CUUCCUCCUAAUAUCCAACCUAAAUUUCCCUUGCAGCAGUUUGAGGCCUUGCUCCUGGUCUUGUCCCCUGCAGUCACAGAGAACAGUAUCUCUAUCAUUCUCUUCAUAAUAAUCAUUCAGACCUUUUCUCCAGAAAUUAAGAGGAAGGAAGGACAUAUCUGAUGUGCAGCCAAAGUACAGAGGGAGAACUGACAUUGGCUAGACAAAGAGGCUGGGUUAAGAAGGUCUGCCUGCAGCUGUUCCCUGCCCUCCGGCGUGUCCACUUCUCCCCAUAGCUUUGUGUCAUCUGCAAACUUG